GUGAAUCAUCAAAUUUUUGAACGCAAAUUGCACUCUCUGGUAUUCCGGAGAGUAUGCCUGUUUGAGGGUCAGUUUAAAUAAAAAUCGGUGUGGUUGCUGCCUUUCGUGGUGACGCACCGGAUUUGGGUCGUCUUGCCUUCGGUUAAGUGACCUACAAUUUUGCAUGCUUUUUUCGAAUGUAUUUAAAUGAUUUUACGUACGUUUGCGAUAUCGAAUACUAGGUGAGGUCAUCAUCAUGGUUCAACCUUAUAAUUUUUA
rnacentral:misc_RNA from 1 species